AGUGAACGCUGGCGGUAGGCCUAACACAUGCAAGUCGAACGGCAGCACAGUAAGAGCUUGCUCUUACGGGUGGCGAGUGGCGGACGGGUGAGGAAUACAUCGGAAUCUACUUUUUCGUGGGGGAUAACGUAGGGAAACUUACGCUAAUACCGCAUACGACCUACGGGUGAAAGCAGGGGAUCUUCGGACCUUGCGCGAUUGAAUGAGCCGAUGUCGGAUUAGCUAGUUGGCGGGGUAAAGGCCCACCAAGGCGACGAUCCGUAGCUGGUCUGAGAGGAUGAUCAGCCACACUGGAACUGAGACACGGUCCAGACUCCUACGGGAGGCAGCAGUGGGGAAUAUUGGACAAUGGGCGCAAGCCUGAUCCAGCCAUACCGCGUGGGUGAAGAAGGCUUUCGGGUUGUAAAGCCCUUUUGUUGGGAAAGAAAAGCAGCAGGCUAAUACCCCGCUGUUCUGACGGUACCCAAAGAAUAAGCACCGGCUAACUUCGUG
rnacentral:rRNA from 1 species